CUCAUGAAUGUUCUGGAAGGAGCGACGGUUGGUUAUGUCGAAGAGCAGCAGACCUCCCACUGAGUUACGAUAAUAGGCUCUGAUUUGUUGGACAUAUGCUGGACUUGUCCAUCAUUUUGUCAGCAUUAAACUCCUUUCUUAGAAUUGACUGCAAGUCCAGAUCUGCCUCCAUCCAAUCAACAACAGAUGGAUUUAACAAAGACCAUGUCCCAAUUUUUAUUUAUUUUUUUCAAUAUUUUCACUUGGAUAUACAUUACAUUUUAGAAGAAAAAAUCUGUCACUCCUUGCGUUACAUUGUAACUUUAAAAUGAAUUGAAAUAAACUAAUUUUAACUAGAAA